AUCUUUUUAGAGCUGCACCUGCGGCAUAUGGAGGUUCCCAGGCUAGGGGCUGAAUUGGAGCUGUAGACGCUGGCCUAUGCCACAGCCACAGCAACGCCAGAUCUGACCUAUACUGCAGCUCACAGCAAAGCCAGAUCCUAACCCACCAAGCAAGGCCGGGGAUCAAAUCUUUGUCUUCAUGGAUACUAGCCAGAUCCCUUUCCACUGAGUCAUGGAACUCCAGUUUCGUUUUUCUUUUCUUUCCUUUUCUUUUCUUUUUUCUUUCUCUCCUUACCUCGCCUCUUCUUUUCGNUCUACCCCUUUUUAAUUGUUUCUGAGCCACUUCACAAGUGUGUUUUUCCUGCCUCCACCCUUAUCACCAGUUCCUUGGAGGCAAGAGCCACAUCCAAUCAUUUCAGCUUCCAGUGCCCUGAAACACGCUCAGCACACAGUUAAGUAUGCAGAAUCCCAUGCCAGUCCAGGGUGCAGCUCUGGAGCAGGCUACUGGGGGCUGAGGCUGGCUCUGCCCCUGCUCAGCCACAGGAACUGGUCAACUCAUUUCAUCCCUCUGUUGCCCCCUUUGCAUGUCUGUAAAGUGGAGAUGCUGAUGCCGCCCUCGGGUCCUUGUGAGGACUCCCCGGAAAAGGACCUGGAAGAGGGCCUGCUCAGGUAACACUGAGUCCCUGCUUACAGGAGUCUGGAAAGCCUGGAAGCACACAGCACCUUCUCCCCAACCCUGUGCCUCUGGCAGCCUUCUGGAUAUACCACUUUUGGCUUGGCCAGUGAAGGGUGAGGCUGGAGGGGACACAGAGUGAGCAGAGCAGGGCCCUACUAUAGCUCACAUCUCUUUUCCCUGUUUCCUAGCACAGAGAAGGACCUUCACUCACAGGCCCAGGAAUAAGGCCGGGAGAGUUUGUGGGACUUCUGACUUGUUCCCAGACUCAGCUAAGCCUGGAAAGCUCCCACCCAAUCACCGCCCUUUCCAUUUCCAUUCUUCCCUCCUCUCUGUGUUCCCGAAACGGAUUCUUCUUCUCUGCAAAGUCCACCCCUGCCAGGGCCGAUGAAAGCUUCCUUAAUUGAGAAGAAAAGAACCAUGACUCAGCAAUAGUGGCCUUGAAACCUGAUUGAAAUUCCCGACGGAUACAUAUUGCAAAAACAUUUCUCUUUAUAUAACAAUUUAAUCAGGCUGAGGUGUGAUAAGCAGGGAGGCAGCUGUUAAGCAAGGCUGUUAAUGCGGCAGGACCGUCUCCUGCUGAUGGAUGUGGCAUAGGCAUGGCCGUUCGUUAGAAAUUAAAGCGGAACUGAAAUCCAUUUGCUGCCUGGUGGUGUGGAGCGCUGUUGUCACAGUUUAACACAGCCUUCCGUCCCCAUGCUCUGGGAGGCUGACAUAUGUAAAGCAGCCUCCUGCCCCUGCGCCAGCUGUAAUUCAGAGAAAGAUCACUUUCAGAUGCCUUCUCCGUGGCCAUGGAUGUGGACCCCAGAGACACUUGAUUUUCCUGGAGCCACAGGAUGGAGGCAGCGGGGGUGAGGGGGUGAUGGGGAGAAACGGCAGGUGAGGAAGAUGGAGACACACCUCUUCAGGGGAUGAAGAAAAGACUGUGCUUUUGUAAAGAAGGCACACUCUUCCCACCCCUGUGCUUAGGAGAACUUUCCACUCGAUGACACCACAGUGAUCUCUUUUCCUUCCAAGCCUCCCUAAUACUCCUCCACGUGCUUUUUAUGUCAUUGUAUUAUAAAGGCAAAGCAAUAUCAACAGAAGGAGAGGGACACAGCUCAGUCAAACCCCGGGAGCAGGCACUGCCAGUUCAGGCGCUUUCCAGAGUGCGCUUACAGGCAGGGGGACCAGCUGGUGGGGCUGGAGGGCGGGGGCUGGGUUUGCGCUGAUGGAAGCCCAGCCAGACCUAAAGGGGGGUGUUCUAGCGCUCAGGCACCACUGCGUC
rnacentral:lncRNA from 1 species